rfam:Ictidomys tridecemlineatus contig032732, whole genome shotgun sequence.
AGGGUUGUAGCUCAGUGGUAGAGUGCUCACCUUGAAUGUGGAAAGCACUGGGUUCAAUCCUCAGCACCACAU